rnacentral:rRNA from 1 species
UACGUAGGGGGGCAAGCGUUUGUCCGGAUUUUAUUGGGCGUAAAGGGCGCGUAGGCGGUGCGGCAAGUCACCUGUGAAACCUCUGGGCUUAACCCAGAGCCUGCAGGCGAAAACUGCCGUGCUGGAGUGUGGGGAGAGGUGCGUGGAAUUCCCCGGUGUAGCGGUGAAAAUGCGUAGAUAUCGGGGAGGAACACCUGUGGCGAAAAGCGGCGCACUGGACCACAACUGACGCUGAGGCGCGAAAAGCUAGGGGGAGCAAACAGG